UACGUAGGGUGCAAGCGUUAAUCGGAAUUACUGGGCGUAAAGCGUGCGCAGGCGGCUCUAUAAGACAGGUGUGAAAUCCCCGAGCUCAACUUGGGAAUUGCAUUUGUGACUGUAGGGCUAGAGUGUGUCAGAGGGGGGUGGAAUUCCACGUGUAGCAGUGAAAUGCGUAGAGAUGUGGAGGAACACCAAUGGCGAAGGCAGCCCCCUGGGAUAACACUGACGCUCAUGCACGAAAGCGUGGGGAGCAAACAGG
rnacentral:rRNA from 1 species